UACAGAGGUCUCAAGCGUUGUUCGGAUUCAUUGGGCGUAAAGGGUGCGUAGGCGGCGCGGUAAGUCGGGUGUGAAAUCUCGGAGCUUAACUCCGAAACUGCAUUCGAUACUGCCGUGCUUGAGGACUGGAGAGGAGACUGGAAUUUACGGUGUAGCGGUGAAAUGCGUAGAUAUCGUAAGGAAGACCAGUGGCGAAGGCGGGUCUCUGGACAGUUCCUGACGCUGAGGAGCGAAAGCGUGGGGAGCAAACAGG
rnacentral:rRNA from 1 species